rnacentral:snoRNA from 1 species
UGGACCAGUGAUGACAGCUGGUGGUGUAUGAGUCACAGAUGAUGAAAAUUAGUGUCUGAAAUGCUAAGAUCCAA